rnacentral:rRNA from 1 species
UACGGAGGGUGCAAGCGUUAUCCGGAUUCACUGGGUUUAAAGGGAGCGUAGGUGGGUUGGUAAGUCAGUGGUGAAAUCCCCGAGCUUAACUUGGGAACUGCCAUUGAUACUAUCAGUCUUGAAUACUGUGGAGGUUAGCGGAAUAUGUCAUGUAGCGGUGAAAUGCUUAGAUAUGACAUUAGAACACCAAUUGCGAAGGCAGCUGGCUACACAAAUAUUGACACUGAGGCUCGAAAGCGUGGGGAUCAAACAGG